UACGUAGGGUGCGAGCGUUGUCCGGAAUUAUUGGGCGUAAAGGGCUCGUAGGCGGUCUGUUGCGUCGGGAGUGAAAACUCAGGGCUUAACCCUGAGCCUGCUUCCGAUACGGGCAGACUAGAGGUAUGCAGGGGAGAACGGAAUUCCUGGUGUAGCGGUGAAAUGCGCAGAUAUCAGGAGGAACACCGGUGGCGAAGGCGGUUCUCUGGGCAUUACCUGACGCUGAAGAGCGAAAGUGUGGGGAGCGAACAGG
rnacentral:rRNA from 1 species